UGUAUCAGACCUGACCAGAAUGCAAUGCAUUGUACUAUUAGGACCACUAUUCCAAUUAGUGGCAGAUACAGAACCUCAGCUCUCAAUGUGAAAGCCCACCAGAAAGAUGAAUGCUAACUAUGGGAGCAACAGCAGAAGGGAAAACCUUCUGUGCUCGUCUUUGGGUCCAUUUUCAGGAUAUGGAUACUAACUGCUCCAUUUUCUUAUUUGGACCUCUAGGUCUAUCUACUCUUUGUCUUCCGCGAUCUUCCUGGAUGCAUUUUGUGGUCUGCUGGUAAGAUUUCUUGCAUUCCUUGUUUUCUGAGAUAUCUUUACAUUCUUUUGUCUACUAAGGUGCAAGGUAAAAUACACCUGUCUUUGACUUGCGUAUGUUCGCAUACCUUGCUGAUUUUAUGUUUGUGUGUCUCAAUUAGAAUAUGGGCUUUUAAAAAUGCCUUUUCAAUGCUGUUAUUACUUUUUUUUCCUGCUUUCAAACUUUGA